AACGAACGCUGGCGGCAUGCCUAACACAUGCAAGUCGAACGAGACCUUCGGGUCUAGUGGCGCACGGGUGCGUAACGCGUGGGAACCUGCCCUUAGGUUCGGAAUAACUCCCCGUAAGGGGUGCUAAUACCGGAUAAUGUCUUCGGACCAAAGAGUUAUCGCCUUUGGAUGGGCCCGCGUUGGAUUAGCUAGUUGGUAGGGUAAAAGCCUACCAAGGCGACGAUCCAUAGCUGGUCUGAGAGGAUGAUCAGCCACACUGGGACUGAGACACGGCCCAGACUCCUACGGGAGGCAGCAGUGGGGAAUAUUGGACAAUGGGCGAAAGCCUGAUCCAGCAAUGCCGCGUGAGUGAUGAAGGCCUUAGGGUUGUAAAGCUCUUUUACCCGGGAUGAUAAUGACAGUACCGGGAGAAUAAGCUCCGGCUAACUCCGUG
rnacentral:rRNA from 1 species